GGAAGCUGGCCUCUUCCUAGGUCUCCAGUCUUCAGGUAAGGAUCAAAACCGAGUGGCCUUGCUUGGAAAGUGAGCAAGGUACUCAUAAAACCUCUGAAGAACUGUGCCUGUGCAGUGUCCAGGCAACCUACCCUACAUCGCCUUGCUUUAAUCUGUGCGGGCCAUCACAUACCCGGAACAAGAGCCUUCCUGGUACAGUCUUUUGGGAUCCAGUUUUAGAGUUGGUGCUAGCACAUCUAAGAGGCAUGGAAAGACUAGACUUUGGAGUCACGAGAACAGAGGUGGGAGUUACGACAGAGAAGACGGCUUGCCCAAGGACAAGCAUCUGGACCUACUAGGGUCACACUAAGGAGAAGGCCAUUAUCUCAGCAUAACAGAGUUUGGACCCAAUAUUUACUGAACACUGGCUGUCGAAGGAAUAAGCGGUCCCCAAUACCAAACCAUGUGCCUGUUCCAGAACUUCAGAACAGACGCAGUACCUUUCUCAUGUAUUUUUUGUGGAAGAAAUCAUUGUUGUGAGCUUUCCUGGCCAUUGGGAAAUGUAUGGAAAGAUUAAAAUAGGAGUCAAGGCAAAUCUUCAGUGAGUCUUCAAAUUGCAUAAGGAACAUCACCCCUGGUAUUUCUGUCUUUCUGACAUCUCAUUAGUUGAUUGGGGGUAAAUGACAUCGAGCCUUUUGUGACUGGUGCCUUGGAACAAUCCAGACGAUGCUCACUGCCGCCCCUUGACAUGGCUUCCUGCCCUCCCUGGCUGGCAUCUGUGAGGUACAGAUGGUGUGUCCCCGUGGACGCAGAGGCUCUCCCUUGGAAAUGUGAGCAACUCCCACGGGCUGAGCUCACGUGCAUCACCGUGGACUCCUUCCUGCCAUCCCGGAGGGCUACUGCCGUGUUUUUAUGAUGAUCUACUUACGUUUUCUCCCAAACUGGUUUCCAUGUUUGUAUUUCUUUGAAGAUGACAUGAACCUACCAGCCACCUGGCUUUACCCACAGCUUGUUCUGCGUGGUAUUUCUUCAUUCUCCUCUGAAGCCAAACAAACCCUUAUCUCAAAUCUCACUCUUGUUCUCUUGGUUUUCCUGACUCUAACGUGGCCUUGGGUCCAGUUCUGAUAACCCCGUGCACAGGUUGCUGCAAGGGUCUCUAAGGAGCCUGUCUUCCGUCCUCUGAUGGCCACGGGCCUGCUCAUCACAUGGUCUUUCUAAAGAUCACAUUGAUUCUGUCUCCUGCUCAAAAUUAUUUCAGUUACUUCACAGUAUCUAGGAUCCAUUUUACACAUCUAGUGCCAUAAUUAAAAGUCCACAUGAUUUUGUUCCAAUUUACUUUUUAGUCUUAUUUUCCUAUAGUCCCACAGUGGGCUUCCCCACUAUCUAAUCCCCUCCUCCCUUUCUAACUGAACCCUGAUUUUGUUUGGAGUGAUCAAAUAACCAGCAAAGGGAUACACUUCUCAGGCUCUGAAAUGUAAGCAGACAGUGCUGGAUAGGCUCUCCAGGGGAGUCUGUGAAGGGCGCUGAUUCAGACAGAGAACAUUCUUUUGCCCCUCAUCCCCUCCUCUUUUUCCUUGCCUAGAAGGUGGUUGUGAUGACUUUAGCUUCAGCAGCUGUUUUGGAUGGUGAGGCAACCUUGAUGAUAUAACUUCAUGCUAAAAUGGUAAAGACCUUGAUGGCUGUGGUGCCAUCACCCCUCUUGGGAUGGGCCCAACCCAGGUUUGAUUUACAAGGCUGCACAGUCACCCUCAUUGUUUUUAAAGCCACGGAACAUGCAGGUUUACUGAUGUAUGUGGCUAAACCUCUCCUAACUGAUAUGAUCUCCCUCUUGGCCAACUUGGUUUGCUCACUAUUCUCUAUAUAAGUGGGUCACGUUUCCCCUCCAUAAUUUUAGUCAUGUCACUCACUUACCCAACACCUACCAACUCAAAUUUUAUUAUUUUUUUUAGAAAAGUUCCUUCCUCAAAGGGUAUCUUUCUUAUUUUUUGGUACUUGGGGUUGAACCCAGAAGUGCUUUACCACUGAGCCACAUUCCCAGUAAACUUUUUAUUAUUUUUUAUUUUGAGGCAGGGUCUCACUAAAUUGCUUAGGGCCUUGCUUAGUUGCUGGGGCUGGCCUUGAACUUGUGAUCCUCCUGCCUCAGCCUCCCCUGUCACUGGGAUUACAGGUGGGCGCCACCAUGCCCAGCCCCAAAGUACACUCUUGCUUUAUGAUCUCCAUAGUGUUAUUUUCUUUAUGAACUAUAGACAGCUUUUUAAACUUUCCUCUUUUGAUUUAAAUUGUCACUUAAAUCUUAUGUUGUCACUUACUCUAAAUGUUCACAUUUACGUAUUUGUUUUGAUAUGUGUUUAUUGAGGGCUGAGUCUCUGGCUGUUCUUUUGGACACACAACAUACAGCAUAGUGCAGAGCCCACGUUGGGAACUUCAUUAAUGUCUAAAGUGAGGCACCUCGUGCAUUUGGAAUAUCAUAAAUAAGUGAAAUGAAUGAGUGCAAUGAGUAAAUGAGUGGAGUGAAAUGACAACUAGAAAGUUUUAUUUUAGCUGUGUGUUUGGAACUACUCCAGGUAAAUUCUUAUGUAAAUAGGACCCCAACCCAUAAUUUUGCUGAUUAUUUUGCCCAUUCUCUGUGUGUGCACUGAACAGUUGAGGCCAAGGGUUUCAAAUAAGCAUAAAACAUCCUCAUCACAGAAACAGCACUUCGUGUCAUAGCCUUUAUGACCCUUCAAGGAGAAAUGCAGUGAGCCAGGUGGGUGAAGGGUGGGCCGUGACUCUGUCGGUCCCUAAGUUGUACCUGUUCAAAGUGUCAGAAUUUUUAGCCCAAGCCACGCUCCCCUGAGGCACAGCUCAUUGACAUUGAACCCACAGAAUUUGAAAUACCGGCUAGAGAAGUUUGGGUUAUUUCCCAAACAUCAGAGCCUGCGGGUGGGAAGGGCAGUCUUAUGGGAACUCAGCCUCCAGCAUUUUCUAAGGUGUUUUGGAAGCCCUAGGAGACCAGUGGGGAAUGAGCCUGGGAGCAAAAAUCCCAGUGAGUAUUUUAUCAUCUGAACCAACAACGGGUUGGAGAGGUUUGGGAGCACUCAGCUCUGCUUUCCACGGCAGGUGCCCCCUUCUCCAGCCUGUACCCCACGUGAACAGCAGCCGUGCGAGUCCCAAGGACCCACCUCAAACCGUAUGU